GAUGAACGCUGGCGGCGUGCCUAAUACAUGCAAGUCGAGCGAACAGACGAGGAGCUUGCUCCUCUGACGUUAGCGGCGGACGGGUGAGUAACACGUGGAUAACCUACCUAUAAGACUGGGAUAACUUCGGGAAACCGGAGCUAAUACCGGAUAAUAUAUUGAACCGCAUGGUUCAAUAGUGAAAGACGGUUUUGCUGUCACUUAUAGAUGGAUCCGCGCCGCAUUAGCUAGUUGGUAAGGUAACGGCUUACCAAGGCAACGAUGCGUAGCCGACCUGAGAGGGUGAUCGGCCACACUGGAACUGAGACACGGUCCAGACUUCUACGGGAGGCAGCAGUAGGGAAUCUUCCGCAAUGGGCGAAAGCCUGACGGAGCAACGCCGCGUGAGUGAUGAAGGUCUUCGGAUCGUAAAACUCUGUUGUUAGGGAAGAACAAAUGUGUAAGUAACUAUGCACGUCUUGACGGUACCUAAUCAGAAAGCCACGGCUAACUACGUG
rnacentral:rRNA from 1 species